rnacentral:tRNA from 1 species
GGCGCCGUAGCAAAGCGGCCAAAUGCGGGGGACUUAAGAUCCUCUGACUUAGUGUCUUCGCAGGUUCGAAUCCUGCCGGCGCCA